rnacentral:rRNA from 1 species
ACGCUCGACACCUACGGGAGGCAGCAGGUGGGGAAUAUUGCACAAUGGAGGAAACUCUGAUGCAGCGACGCCGCGUGGAGGAAGAAGGUCUUCGGAUUGUAAACUCCUGUUGUUGAGGACGAUAAUGACGGUACUCAACAAGGAAGUGACGGCUAACUACGUGCCAGCAGCCACGGUAAUCUGAGCGGGCUGGCAAGGC